AUUGAACGCUGGCGGAAUGCUUUACACAUGCAAGUCGGGCGGCAGCGCGGGGGCAACCCUGGCGGCGAGCGGCGAACGGGUGAGUAACACAUCGGAACGUACCCUGUCGUGGGGGAUAACGAAUCGAAAGAUUCGCUAAUACCGCAUACGACCUGAGGGUGAAAGCGGGGGAUCGCAAGACCUCGCGCGAGAGGAGCGGCCGAUGGCGGAUUAGCUAGUUGGUGGGGUAAAGGCCCACCAAGGCGACGAUCCGUAGCGGGUCUGAGAGGACGGCCCGCCACACUGGGACUGAGACACGGCCCAGACUCCUACGGGAGGCAGCAGUGGGGAAUUUUGGACAAUGGGGGCAACCCUGAUCCAGCCAUUCCGCGUGAGUGAAGAAGGCCUUCGGGUUGUAAAGCUCUUUCGGCAGGAACGAAACGGCGGGCUCUAACAUAGCCUGUCAAUGACGGUACCUGAAGAAGAAGCACCGGCUAACUACGUGCCAGCAGCCGCGGUAAUACGUAGGGUGCGAGCGUUAAUCGGAAUUACUGGGCGUAAAGCGUGCGCAGGCGGCUUUGUAAGACAGGUGUGAAAUCCCCGGGCUUAACCUGGGAACUGCGCUUGUGACUGCAAGGCUCGAGUGCGGCAGAGGGGGGUGGAAUUCCACGUGUAGCAGUGAAAUGCGUAGAGAUGUGGAGGAACACCGAUGGCGAAGGCAGCCCCCUGGGUCGACACUGACGCUCAUGCACGAAAGCGUGGGUAGCAAACAGGAUUAGAUACCCUGGUAGUCCACGCCCUAAACGAUGCCAACUAGGUGUUGG
rnacentral:rRNA from 1 species